UGAGCAACCUGCCCCUGGCUCUGGGAUAACCCCGGGAAACCGGAGCUAAUACCGGAUACGAGACCGAUUGGCAUCUUUACGGUCUGGAAAGUUUUUCGGCCAGGGAUGGGCUCGCGGCCUAUCAGCUUGUUGGUGGGGUAACGGCCCACCAAGGCGACGACGGGUAGCCGGCCUGAGAGGGCGACCGGCCACACUGGGACUGAGACACGGCCCAGACUCCUACGGGAGGCA
rnacentral:rRNA from 1 species